GAAGAAGUAGAGUGCUGGCUGUGUACAGGACCGCCUUUCUUGAGCUCUGGAAGGAGAUUGAUGUGGCCUCUUGUUACUGAGCAAACAGAGCUUUGCUCUUGUUGCCCAGGCUGGAGUGCAAUGGCAUGAUCUCAGGUCACCACAACGUCUGCCUCCAGGGUUCAGGUUCAAGCGAUUCUCCUGCCUCAGCCUCCUGAGUAGCUGGGUUUACAGCGUCUCGCUCAGUCACCCAAGCUGGAGCGUCUAUCGCCCAGACUAAAGUGCAGUGGCACAAUCACGGCUCACUGCAGCCUCCGCCUCCAGGGCUUGCUUAAUGGAUC